rnacentral:tRNA from 1 species
GUUUGAAUAGCUUAAAUUUAAAAGUUUGGUAUUGAAAAUACUUAUAUGGGGUAACUCUUCAAACA